rnacentral:lncRNA from 1 species
GCCCAGAUAGUGCAGUCAAGAGACCCCAAACGCUCUGCUGGUACUGAGACAGAGGAGAGGAGCCUUGGUUCCAGGAGCCUCUGCCACCCUGUCUGCAGUGCGAGCCAAGGGUCGCUUUCUGAGGCUGCCGCCCUCUGGGCUGGGCUCCCCAAUUUGUCCUGCUUCUUCCCACAUCUCCCCCUAGGCAGCCCCCUGUCCUCUGAGAGCUCAUUCUCUCCCAGCUCCUCCCCACCCUGUCUGCAGUUGACUCAUAGCUGCCCUCAGCAUGGUCCCCCAUCUCCAGCUUUCUGCACCCCAGACUCCACUAGACACCUCCUGCAGGACUCCACGGUCACUUCCCAUCAGCCUCCAUUGGCCAUUCCAGAUGGACACCUCCCGCUGGACUCCACUGGCCACCUCCAUGUAGACACAGUGAAGAAGCCUGGAGGCGGUGAUGCUGUGAGCCGGGGAAGAUCCAGAAGUGAUGCAGUGCACUCCAGAACCAGGGGGUGUAGCCAAGGGACCACGGCUGAGGCCCUGAGACCCUCUGCAGAGUGACGUGGGGGACCCGCAGUCCUGCAGGUGCUGAGACCCGUCCGGCAGCGAUUGGAGCGUGGACUCGGUGGGCUCCGGGACAGGGAAGGGGGUGGAGUGGAGCCUGGGUGCCCAGGUCUCUGGGUCAGGUGCAGAGGAGGGGAAGCUCGCGUUUCUGUUCUUGUUGGCUCUUCAGAGCAAAUCGCCCUUUGUAAAAGCUAAUGAUCACUGGCAGCCCAGGUUGGGGUGGGGCCCAAGGCAGUGGGACAAUUCCCUCCAACACCUCGAGGGGAAGGUGAAGCCCGGCUGCCGAGCCAGCCCAGUUCUGGAGGACUGCCUGAGAGAUGGCGCUUUAUUGGCUCCUCAAUACAACCGUCUGAGGUAAGGGCUCAUUACACCCAUUUUACAGAUGAAGAAACCGUGGCUGAGAGAGAUGGGGAGAUUUAUCCAAGGUCACGCACUGUCCAAGACAGGACUUGAGCUCUGGGCUUUCUGCCUCCAGGUCCAGAACUCUACCCACAGAGGCAUGUGGCUGAGGUGCAGCUGAGAAGGCCAGAGCACUUGAAAGACGUGCACACAGAUGCUGAGGAUACCGACAGGAGGCAGAGGCGGCCUGGGAAUCAGGCAAAUGACACGGGGCAGGCAGAUGGCUGCCCUCAGGUGCGCCGAGGAAGGGAGAGACAUUUCUCCACAUCCUUCCAUCUGGGACAGCCCUUGGGGCCCAUCAAAGGCCAUCCCACCCGCUCUCCUUUUCUGGGUCUUCACGUCCCUGCUGAGAGAGAGCCUCACCACACUGCUUGAGCACUAGCCGUCCUAAGUGGGCUCUACAGCACUCUCCCCACCUCAUGCAUCUCUCCACUGUCCUUUGCUUCUCCCUCCUCGGAGAUGCUUCUGGGAUCCAAGAGCAUCACUGCCUGGGGCAGCAGUGACCAGACGGCCUUGCUUCUGGGACAGUGAGGAGCUCGGGGUCCUCAACACUGACCCAGGGGCCAGACGGAAGGUUGACACUUGGGCCAGUCUCAGC